rnacentral:rRNA from 1 species
GUUAUAUGGUCAAGUGAAGAAGCGCAUACGGUGGAUGCCUUGGCAGUCAGAGGCGAUGAAAGACGUGGUAGCCUGCGAAAAGCUUCGGGGAGUCGGCAAACAGACUUUGAUCCGGAGAUGUCUGAAUGGGGGAACCCAGCCAUCAUAAGAUGGUUAUCUUGUACUGAAUACAUAGGUGCAAGAGGCGAACCAGGGGAACUGAAACAUCUAAGUACCCUGAGGAAAAGAAAUCAACCGAGAUUCCCUUAGUAGUGGCGAGCGAACGGGGACYAGCCCUUAAGUGGCUUUGAGAUUAGCGGAACGCUCUGGAAAGUGCGGCCAUAGUGGGUGAUAGCCCUGUACGCGAAAAUCUCUURGUCAUGAAAUCGAGUAGGACGGAGCACGAGAAACUUUGUCUGAAUAUGGGGGGACCAUCCUCCAAGGCUAAAUACUACUGACUGACCGAUAGUGAACUAGUACCGUGAGGGAAAGGCGAAAAGAACCCCGGAGAGGGGAGUGAAAUAGAUCCUGAAACCGUAUGCGUACAAGCAGUGGGAGCCCACUUUGUUGGGUGACUGCGUACCUUUUGUAUAAUGGGUCAGCGACUUAUUUUCAGUGGCGAGCUUAACCGAAUAGGGGAGGCGUAGCGAAAGCGAGUCUUAAUAGGGCGUCUAGUCGCUGGGAAUAGACCCGAAACCGGGCGAUCUAUCCAUGGGCAGGUUGAAGGUUAGGUAACACUGACUGGAGGACCGAACCGACUACCGUUGAAAAGUUAGCGGAUGACCUGUGGAUCGGAGUGAAAGGCUAAUCAAGCUCGGAGAUAGCUGGUUCUCCUCGAAAGCUAUUUAGGUAGCGCCUCAUGUAUCACUGUAGGGGGUAGAGCACUGUUUCGGCUAGGGGGUCAUCCCGACUUACCAAACCGAUGCAAACUCCGAAUACCUACAAGUGCCGAGCAUGGGAGACACACGGCGGGUGCUAACGUCCGUCGUGAAAAGGGAAACAACCCAGACCGUCAGCUAAGGUCCCAAAGUUAUGGUUAAGUGGGAAACGAUGUGGGAAGGCUUAGACAGCUAGGAGGUUGGCUUAGAAGCAGCCACCCUUUAAAGAAAGCGUAAUAGCUCACUAGUCGAGUCGGCCUGCGCGGAAGAUGUAACGGGGCUCAAACCAUACACCGAAGCUACGGGUAUCAYCUUCGGRUGAUGCGGUAGAGGAGCGUUCUGUAAGCCUGUGAAGGUGAGUUGAGAAGCUUGCUGGAGGUAUCAGAAGUGCGAAUGCUGACAUGAGUAACGACAAUGGGUGUGAAAAACACCCACGCCGAAAGACCAAGGUUUCCUGCGCAACGUUAAUCGACGCAGGGUUAGUCGGUCCCUAAGGCGAGGCUGAAAAGCGUAGUCGAUGGAAAACAGGUUAAUAUUCCUGUACUUCUGGUUAUUGCGAUGGAGGGACGGAGAAGGCUAGGCCAGCUUGGCGUUGGUUGUCCAAGUUUAAGGUGGUAGGCUGGAAUCUUAGGUAAAUCCGGGAUUYYAAGGCCGAGAGCUGAUGACGAGUGUUCUUUUAGAACACGAAGUGGUUGAUGCCAUGCUUCCAAGAAAAGCUUCUAAGCUUCAGGUAACCAGGAACCGUACCCCAAACCGACACAGGUGGUUGGGUAGAGAAUACCAAGGCGCUUGAGAGAACUCGGGUGAAGGAACUAGGCAAAAUGGCACCGUAACUUCGGGAGAAGGUGCGCCGGUGAGGGUGAAGGACUUGCUCCGUAAGCCCACGCCGGUCGAAGAUACCAGGCCGCUGCGACUGUUUAUUAAAAACACAGCACUCUGCAAACACGAAAGUGGACGUAUAGGGUGUGACGCCUGCCCGGUGCCGGAAGGUUAAUUGAUGGGGUUAGCUAACGCGAAGCUCUUGAUCGAAGCCCCGGUAAACGGCGGCCGUAACUAUAACGGUCCUAAGGUAGCGAAAUUCCUUGUCGGGUAAGUUCCGACCUGCACGAAUGGCGUAACGAUGGCGGCGCUGUCUCCACCCGAGACUCAGUGAAAUUGAAAUCGCUGUGAAGAUGCAGUGUAUCCGCGGCUAGACGGAAAGACCCCGUGAACCUUUACUAUAGCUUUGCACUGGACUUUGAAUUUGCUUGUGUAGGAUAGGUGGGAGGCUUUGAAGCGUGGACGCCAGUUCGCGUGGAGCCAACCUUGAAAUACCACCCUGGCAACUUUGAGGUUCUAACUCAGGUCCGUUAUCCGGAUCGAGGACAGUGUAUGGUGGGUAGUUUGACUGGGGCGGUCUCCUCCUAAAGAGUAACGGAGGAGUACGAAGGUGCGCUCAGACCGGUCGGAAAUCGGUCGUAGAGUAUAAAGGCAAAAGCGCGCUUGACUGCGAGACAGACACGUCGAGCAGGUACGAAAGUAGGUCUUAGUGAUCCGGUGGUUCUGUAUGGAAGGGCCAUCGCUCAACGGAUAAAAGGUACUCCGGGGAUAACAGGCUGAUACCGCCCAAGAGUUCAUAUCGACGGCGGUGUUUGGCACCUCGAUGUCGGCUCAUCACAUCCUGGGGCUGAAGCCGGUCCCAAGGGUAUGGCUGUUCGCCAUUUAAAGUGGUACGCGAGCUGGGUUUAGAACGUCGUGAGACAGUUCGGUCCCUAUCUGCCGUGGACGUUUGAGAUUUGAGAGGGGCUGCUCCUAGUACGAGAGGACCGGAGUGGACGAACCUCUGGUGUUCCGGUUGUCACGCCAGUGGCAUUGCCGGGUAGCUAUGUUCGGAAAAGAUAACCGCUGAAAGCAUCUAAGCGGGAAACUUGCCUCAAGAUGAGAUCUCACUGGGACCUUGAGUCCCCUGAAGGGCCGUCGAAGACUACGACGUUGAUAGGUUGGGUGUGUAAGCGCUGUGAGGCGUUGAGCUAACCAAUACUAAUUGCCCGUGAGGCUUGACCAUAUAACACCCAAGCAAUUUGNCCCCUGAAGGGCCGUCGAAGACUACGACGUUGAUAGGUUGGGUGUGUAAGCGCUGUGAGGCGUUGAGCUAACCAAUACUAAUUGCCCGUGAGGCUUGACCAUAUAACACCCAAGCAAUU